CCGUGCACGCGCCGCCGCUAAGCCGCGCUCCUGUGCCGGCCGCGCCGCUGCUGCGCCGCACGCCGCCGCCGGCCGCCGCUGCCGGCCGUCUCUCUCUCUCUCUCGGUGUUCCGCCGCGCUAUCCAGAGCCCAGCCGGCCGAAGCAACAGCGCCGGGAGAAGGAAGCCAGGAAGAAGAAGGAAGAAAAGAAAAGGAAGAAAGAGAAAAGAAAAGGAAGAAAGAAAAAAGAAAGAAAAGAGAGAGAAAAAAAAAGGGAAAAAAGAGAAGAAAAGAGAAGAAAAAAGGGAAGAAGAAGAAAAAGGGAAAAGUUGGAAAUUUCGGAAUUUUGUCGGAUUCGUCGUCAAUCUUUCGAAGGCGAUUUCUCGGUGAUACUAUUUCUGGACGUUCUUGAUCGAAUUUUCUUCAUCGUCGGUAAAGGCAAGUGAAUGUAUUGUAUGACUAUGCUUUAACCUAAUAUUGGGUUGCCUACAUUCUUUAAUUACAGUGCAUUCAUCUAAUCUGAAUGACUGAUUCUGGGCUGAGUACUAUGUUGUUUACGUUUCCAGAAGUUUACUCGAUGAUUGAUUUAUGAAGUGCAGUAGGCACGAUAUGCCAUUCUGCAGUUGUUCA